rnacentral:tRNA from 1 species
UAGGAAGUAGUGUAGCGCGGAUGCACUAAGAGUCUUGGCCUCUUCAGGUUGGGUUCAAACCCCAUCUUCCUAU